UGGGGGAUAUUGCACAAUGGGCGAAAGCCUGAUGCAGCGACGCCGCGUGGGGGAUGAAGGCUUUCGGGUUGUAAACCUCUUUCGCUAUCGAACAAGGCCCGCUUAGGGUGGGUUGAGGAUAGGUGGAGAAGAAGCGCCGGCUAACUACGUGCCAGCAGCCGCGGUAAUACGUAGGGCGCGAGCGUUGUCCGGAAUUAUUGGGCGUAAAGGGCUUGUAGGCGGCUUGUUGCGCCUGCUGUGAAAACGCGGGGCUUAACUUCGCGCGUGCAGUGGGUACGGGCAGGCUUGAGUGUGGUAGGGGUGACUGGAAUUCCAGGUGUAGCGGUGGAAUGCGCAGAUAUCUGGAGGAACACCGAUGGCGAAGGCAGGUCACUGGGCCAUUACUGACGCUGAGGAGCGAAAGCAUGGGUAGCGAACAGG
rnacentral:rRNA from 1 species